UACGUAGGGUGCAAGCGUUGUCCGGAAUUAUUGGGCGUAAAGAGCUCGUAGGCGGUUUGUCGCGUCUGCUGUGAAAACUCGGGGCUUAACUCCGGGCCUGCAGUGGGUACGGGCAGACUAGAGUGCGGUAGGGGAGACUGGAAUUCCUGGUGUAGCGGUGAAAUGCGCAGAUAUCAGGAGGAACACCAAUGGCGAAGGCAGCUUGCUGGGCUUCUUCUGACACUGAGGUACGAAAGCGUGGGGAGCGAACAGG
rnacentral:rRNA from 1 species